CACCGGCGUCUCCUCACAGCCUCUGGAGCUGCUGUCACAGAGCUGAUGAGCAGGAGCUGCCCUCUGAGCUGGCACCUCCAGGACCCUGAGCUGUCCUUGGAGCUGGGGGAUCCCUGUGGGACAAAGCUGCUGUCAGUAGCCCAAGGCUUCCUGAUGCUGCUGAACCAUCAGGGUUUUUUCCAAAGAAAAGAAGGACAAAGGAUGAUAGCUGUCCCAGGGAUUGACACAUUGCCCUGGCUGGUGGGGCAGGUACCCAGGAGUGACAAGAAAUUCAGCUGAGUUCAGCUGCAGAUGAAAGCUGUAGCUUUCCAUGGAAACCACUGGAUUGAUUCUUUACCUUUGGCUACAAGUAAUUGCAUGCAAUUAUGUGUGAUAAUUAGAAGUAGAUUGUGCAAGGAAUAACAAAAAAAACAUUAAUACAUCCUUUGCAUUUGUGGUCUGCUCCUUUAAGAGUGAUUAUGAUUUUUUUAACAGUUUCUCUUUUUUUAGCCCAACCUAAACCUGUUUAGUUGAUCAAGCAUAAGAAUGGAAA